GCCGCUGUGGCGCAGCCGUUAGCGCGUCUGACUUCGGUUCAGAAGGUCGUCGGUUCAAAUCCGGCCUGCGGUG